rnacentral:rRNA from 1 species
UGCCCUGCGGCGCGAACUGCUUGGCUUGAGUGCGCCGGAAGCGGGCGGAAUUCGUGGUGUAGCGGUGAAAUGCUUAGAUAUCACGAAGAACCCCGAUUGCGAAGGCAGCCCGCUGUGGCGCCACUGACGCUGAGGCUCGAAGGUGCGGGUAUCGAACAGGAUUAGAUACCCUGGUAGUCCGCACGGUAAACGAUGGAUACCCGCUGUCCGGCCCGUACGGUCUGGGCGGCCAAGCGAAAGCGUUAAGUAUCCCACCUGGGGAGUACGCCGGCAACGGUGAAACUCAAAGGAAUUGACGGGGGCCCGCACAAGCGGAGGAACAUGUGGUUUAAUUCGAUGAUACGCGAGGAACCUUACCCGGGCUUGAAUUGCAGGAGCAUGAUUCAGAGAUGAUGAAGUCCCUCGGGACUCCUGUGAAGGUGCUGCAUGGUUGUCGUCAGCUCGUGCCGUGAGGUGUCGGCUCAAGUGCCAUAACGAGCGCAACCCCUCUCCGCAGUUGCCAUCGGGUGAUGCCGGGCACUCUGCGGACACUGCCGCCGCAAGGUGCGAGGAAGGUGGGGAUGACGUCAAAUCAGCACGGCCCUUACGUCCGGGGCCACACACGUGUUACAAUGGCCGGUACAGAGGGCUGUCCGCAUGCAAGUGCGGGCGAAUCCCGAAAUCCGGUCCCAGUUCGGACUGGGGUCUGCAACCCGACCCCACGAAGCUGGAUUCGCUAGUAAUCGCGCAUCAGCCAUGGCGCGGUGAAUACGUUCCCGGGCCUUGUACACACCGCCCGUCAAGCCAUGAAAGCCGGGGGUGCCUGAAGUCCGUGAAGGCGAGGGUCGGCCUAGGGCAAAACCGGUGAUUGGGGCUAA